CGACCUGACUAUUUGUUCAAAUGCUAUGUUAAUGGUCGUUUGACUGGAUCAACGUUCUCAAGUGACCAUCAUCGACCUCUACCGGAAAAUUAACAGGAUUUUUAUGAGCAAGAGUGAUAAAAAGUUUGGUUUGACUUUGGUUGGUGGUGGGCCUAUAUAUGAUAUAGCAUAAAGCAUCAUCCAUCACCUUCCUCCUCCAGACUCGACCAGGUCAGUGUUCUUGACCACCAAACAUCUCCCUCCUUUCUGAACUGAGAAGCCAUGGACAACAUGAAGAAACCAUGGUUGUGGAUUUCAGUUGUCAUCCUCUGCUUCGCUUUUGACGUUCAUUCUGCUUCUGGAGCUUUUACUGCCAUCUCAGCAGAGCAAUCUCUUUCUGGCGAUCAAACUCUAAUCUCUCGGAAAGGUGUCUUUGAAUUGGGAUUCUUCAAGCCAGGUAAUUCCUCUAAUUACUACAUAGGCAUAUGGUACAAAAAGGUCUCUCAAAGUCAGAGGACCCAUGUUUGGGUAGCUAACAGAAACAAACCGGUCUCUGACAAAUAUUCGGCCAAGUUAGCAAUUUCGGAUGGCAAUUUAGUUCUCUUUGAUGGGUCUCAAAAGAUUGUUUGGUCAACAAACUUGACUUCUCCAUCCUUGAGUUUUGUAGAAGUUGUCCUUCUUGAUAGUGGGAACCUAGUUUUAAGAGAGAGGCCUAACGCAACAGAGUACCUAUGGCAGAGCUUUGACAAUCCAACUGAUACAUGGCUUCCAGGAGGUAAAAUGAGAUUAAAUAAUAAAACAAAACAGCCUCAAUAUCUCACUUCAUGGAAGAAUAGCGAGGACCCUGCAGAAGGCCUUUUCUCUCUAGAGCUAGACCCCAAAGGAAGCACCGCCUAUGUCAUUCUUUGGAAUAAGUCUCAGCAGUAUUGGAGCAGUGGUGCUUGGAAUGGACAAAUUUUCAGCUUGGUGCCUGAAAUGAGGUUAAAUUAUAUCUACAAUUUCACAUUUGUGACAAACGAAAAUGAGAGUUAUUUCACCUAUACUGUGUAUAAUAAUACUAUUAUAUCAAGAUUUGUAAUGGAUGUCUCAGGGCAAAUCAAGCAAUUUACAUGGUUGGAACUCAGCCAGCAAUGGAACUUGUUUUGGUCUAUGCCACGGCAACAAUGUGAGGUUCAUGCAAUUUGUGGUUCAUCUGGAAUUUGCAACGAGAAUUCCAUGCCAUUUUGUACUUGUUUGCCGGGCUUUGAGCCGAAGUUCCACAGUAAUUGGAAUCUGAAUGAUUACUCAGGUGGGUGUGUGAGGAAAACAAAGUUACAAUGCGAGGACUCCAAUUCUUCAAAUGGAAAGAAAGACAAGUUCCAGGCAAUGCCCAACAUGAAGUUACCUAAAAUUUCUCCCUUUAAUGAAGCAGGGAGUGCAGAGGAAUGCCAAUCAACCUGCUUCAGAAAUUGCUCAUGUGCUGCUUAUGCGUAUGAUAGUAAUGGGUGUUGUAUCUGGCACGAUGAUCUCUUAAAUUUGCAACAACUUUCCCAAGAUGAUAGCAAUGGAGAAACUUUGUAUCUCAAGCUUGCGGCUUCUGAGUUUCCCGAUUCUAAAAGCAAUAAAGGGCUGAUUAUCGGUAUUCUUGCAGGCUCGGUGGGAGGUAUAGGGGUUCUCCUAGCUAUUCUUCUACUUGUGAUGUUGAGGAGAAGGAAGAGAAUUGUUCGAAGAGGGAAGGCUGUGGAGGGUUCAUUGAUGGCAUAUGGGUAUAGAGAUUUGCAAAACGCAACAAGGAAUUUCUCAGAGAAGUUAGGAGGAGGAGGUUUUGGUUCUGUGUUUAGAGGAACAUUGCCAGAUUCCAAAGUUAUAGCAGUGAAGAAGCUUGAAGGCAUUGGCCAGGGCGAGAAGCAGUUCCGUACAGAAGUUAGUACACUUGGAAGAGUACAGCAUGUAAAUCUGGUGCCGCUUAGAGGAUUUUGUUCUGAAGGAGUGAGAAAACUGCUUGUCUAUGAUUACAUGCCUAAUAGUUCUCUGGAUUCCCAUCUAUUUCAAGAAAAGAACUCUAAGAUAUUAGGCUGGAAAAUGAGGUACCAAAUUGCUCUUGGAACAGCCAGGGGGUUAACUUAUCUCCAUGAAAAGUGUAGAGACUGUAUCAUACAUUGUGACAUCAAACCAGAAAACAUUCUUCUUGAUGCUGAUUUUUGUCCAAAAGUUGCUGACUUUGGCCUCGCAAAGCUAGUCGGACGAGAUUUUAGCAGGGUUCUAACAACCAUGAGAGGAACAAGAGGUUAUCUUGCUCCGGAAUGGAUAUCCGGAGUGGCUAUUACUGCUAAAGCUGAUGUUUAUAGCUAUGGGAUGAUGCUUUUUGAAUUUGUAUCAGGUAGGAGAAACUCUAAGCCGUCUGAAGAUGGCAAAGUUAAGUUCUUUCCCACCUGGGCUACAAAUGUUGUUAUUCAUGGCGGCAAUAUGCAUAGCCUAUUAGACCCGAGGUUGGAGGGAAAUGCAGACUUGGAAGAGGUGACACGAAUAGUAAAAGUUGCUGCUUGGUGUGUCCAAGAUGAUGAAACUCACAGGCCAUCCAUGGGUCAAGUGGUUCAAAUCCUCGAGGGCAUGCUGGAUGUAAAUUUGCCUCCAGUUCCAAGAUCCUUCAAAUUGUUCGUGGAAGACGAGGCGAACAUAGUCUUCUUCACUGACUCAAACUCAAGCUCCAAUCAAAGCUCACAAGUAAGGAGCAACGUUUCAACAGCCUCCUCUCAAACCUAAGGCAACCUCUCAUCUGCACCCUCCCAAGAGUAUCAGUUGAUGAUCUACUGAGAUUUGAAAUGAAUUCAAGUGUGGAUUGGCCAUAACCCACAGUCUUAAUGAAUUAAAUCCGAUCAGGAUGUAACUAAAUGCUAAAAACUCUGCUCAACGAUAGGCGACGGUUGUUGGCUUAGAGGUGAACCUUUACCUUCCGUACAUCUCCAUAUGAGAGCAGAGGAGGAAUCAAGAGAGAAGGAGCAAAUCAUCAGAGUUCUGAGGAGAUUCACGUGGCCAAGGUAGCUAAGUACAAAUUGUGGCAAAAGAAAAGAAAAAUAUGUUUCAAAGUUGAAGAGUAUUUUAAUUUUGGGUUUUCAUUCAUUAAUGGACACUUGGUUCAUUCUUGAAGACGCUCGCUUACUAAAAACUCUGGGUGAAGGAGGACAAACGUGUAGGUGAUGCCAAAGUUGCAAUUAGAGUGAUACAAGCAACCACAAGCUCUUAGUUUUUUAUGCCAGCUAAAAAUGAAAGCAACGCGUUUUCUUUUGUUCUGAACUAGGAAACGGAUAAACUAGAGGAAUUUCAACCAUGUCAAGGCACUUCUCGUACAUUAGUUUAGUUAGUACAUUGUCAAAAUCAGUGAUUUCUGCCAACCUAUCCGUUUCGCUUAU